AGAACCUGAAACCGUGUACGUACAAGCAGUGGGAGCACAGGUUUACCUGUGUGACUGCGUACCUUUUGUAUAAUGGGUCAGCGACUUAUAUUCUGUAGCAAGGUUAACCGUAUAGGGGAGCCGCAGGGAAACCGAGUCUUAACCGGGCGUUAAGUUGCAGGGUAUAGACCCGAAACCCGGUGAUCUAGCCAUGGGCAGGUUGAAGGUUGGGUAACACUAACUGGAGGACCGAACCGACUAAUGUUGAAAAAUUAGCGGAUGACCUGUGGCUGGGGGUGAAAGGCCAAUCAAACCGGGAGAUAGCUGGUUCUCCCCGAAAGCUAUUUAGGUAGCGCCUCGUGAAUUCAUCUCCGGGGGUAGAGCACUGUUUCGGCUAGGGGGCCAUCCCGGCUUACCAACCCGAUGCAAACUGCGAAUACCGGAGAAUGUUAUCACGGGAGACACACGGCGGGUGCUAACGUCCGUCGUGAAGAGGGAAACAACCCAGACCGCCAGCUAAGGUCCCAAAGUCAUGGUUAAGUGGGAAACGAUGUGGGAAGGCCCAGACAGCCAGGAUGUUGGCUUAGAAGCAGCCAUCAUUUAAAGAAAGCGUAAUAGCUCACUGGUCGAGUCGGCCUGCGCGGAAGAUGUAACGGGGCUAAACCAU
rnacentral:rRNA from 1 species